rnacentral:rRNA from 1 species
UACGUAGGGUGCGAGCGUUACUCGGAAUUACUGGGCGUAAAGCGUGCGCAGGCGGUUUUGUAAGCCAGAUGUGAAAUCCCCGGGCUUAACCUGGGAAUGGCAUUUGGGACUGCAAAGCUUGAGUGCGGCAGAGGGGACUGGAAUUCCUGGUGUAGCAGUGAAAUGCGUAGAGAUCAGGAGGAAUACCGAUGGCGAAGGCAGGUCCCUGGGCUGACACUGACGCUCAUGCACGAAAGCGUGGGGAGCAAACAGG